rnacentral:rRNA from 1 species
UACAGAGGUCCCAAGCGUUGUUCGGAUUCACUGGGCGUAAAGGGUGCGUAGGUGGUUGUGCAAGUCUGAUGUGAAAUCUCCGGGCUUAACCCGGAAAUGGCAUUGGAAACUGCAUGGCUAGAGGGUUGGAGGGGGGACUGGAAUACUUGGUGUAGCAGUGAAAUGCGUAGAUAUCAAGUGGAACACCAGUGGCGAAGGCGAGUCCCUGGGCCGGCCCUGACACUGAGACGCGAAGGCGUGGGGAGCGAACGGG